ACUUGCAGAGCCAUCCUUCACUGAGACAGGAUUUGCUCUUCUUGCCCUCUUCUCCGGUUUCUCCCCUUGUGUGUAACUGGGGCUAUGUUCCAGCAUAACAGAGCAGGAGAUGCGCUCAGGCUGAGAAGGCAGAUGAAGGUACUACACCCUAAGGAGGCUGAACGACCUAACCAGCAAGUACCAGCUUGGGGACCGUGUUUGGGACUGGAGUAUAGGGACCGCAGGAGUUUGUGUGAACUUGCUACAAGGAUGGCUUCUAGAAGCAUGAAAGGAAGCUACGGCCCGUGCUCAGUGAGGUUGAAAUUGCUGGACCCCUGACAGAUGGCAGCUGAAGGCUAAACCGCUCAGGGAUUGUGAAGCUGGGAUACAUAUGAUGACUUUCUAAGGAUCAGAACUAUCAUGAUUGUGGAGGCCAAGUGGAGGCCUCUGUACCUGUUUCCAUCCCUGGUCAAAAUAAUACCGUUUGGAUUCACAUGGAGCAGACAACAGUAUGCAUUUCCCAUUGCUCCAGGGUUGUACCUUUCCAGUCUGUCAUAGUUCACGUACCACCUGGGUAUCUGAAGAACAUUGUGCCGAUUUGCUCCUCUGAUAGCUUGUCAAUGGAGUUAGAUUACAGGAAAUGUCUGGCACAUUGGAAGCCUUGGUAAGAAACGUGCAUUCCAUUGUUGGAGAAGAUGCCUGUGAAGAUUCGAUUAUCUGCCACAUGAGAACAAUUUUGAGUGCCCCAACAGUUGGGGACAUGCUGGGUCCUAUCAUCCAAAGUAAAACAUGAGUUAUACCACUUGAAUCUCCUGCAGAGAAGGAAGCACAAUGCCUGAGAGGACUUUUCAGGUUUUGGAGACAACAUAUUCCACAUCUCAGAACACUCUCUGCCUUGUAUACCAGGUGACACAAAAGACUGCCACUUAAAAAAAAAAAAGGUUUUAUUUGUUAAAGAAGGAGAGCACAGGGCAGGAGCAGAGGGAGAGGGAGAAGCAGGUUCCCUGCUGAGCACGGAUCCCAACACCGGGCACGAUCCCAGGACAUUGAGAUCACAACCUGAGCCAAAGUUCCCAAUGCAGGGCUUCCUUCUAGGACGUUGAGAUCACGACCUGACCAAAGUCAGACUCUUAACUGACUGAACCCAAAAAGACUUCGACUUUUGAGUGUAUCCCAGGAUAAGAAAGUUCUCUGCAGAGCAGCAGAGUCUAAGCUGCAGUUGAAAGCAGCCUUGUUACUUGGGCAUAAGACUGAGCAGAUCUCAGAAGAUUGGGUGUAUCAUGGGUAGGGAACGAUACCUUCCAGGAGUCUGGAGCAAACCCAUGCUGUCCACAGAGGUGGCUCGGAUAUGUUUCAUAAAGCCGUUCCUGUAAUGCUGCUGGGCCCUGGUGGAAGACCGUUGGACAUGACAUGACCGCAUGCCCAGAACUGCAUCUUGUGAGGUUGGUGGAGAUGAGUGGACAAGACCCUCUCAAUCUCUUGGAUCUUGCAGCACAGAGCCUGCGGAAUGAGAAGGCCUCAGCUGUACGUGACCUGGAAGAGCUCCCU